rnacentral:rRNA from 1 species
UGCGAGUCAUAUGUUCUUCGUGAACAUGGCGUACUGCUCAGUAACACGUGGAUAACCUGCCCUUGGGACCGGGAUAACCCCGGGAAACUGGGGAUAAUACCGGAUAACGCAUAUCUGCUGGAAUGCUUUAUGCGUAAAAUGGAUUUGUCUGCCCAAGGAUGGGUCUGCGGCCUAUCAGGUAGUAGUGGGUGUAAUGUACCUACUAGCCUACGACGGGUACGGGUUGUGAGAGCAAGAGCCCGGAGAUGGAUUCUGAGACAUGAAUCCAGGCCCUACGGGGCGCAGCAGGCGCGAAAACUUUACAAUGCGGGAAACCGUGAUAAGGGGACACCGAGUGCCAGCAUCAUAUGUUGGCUGUCCAGAUGUGUAAAAUACAUCUGUUAGCAAGGGCCGGGCAAGACCGGUGCCAGCCGCCGCGGUAACACCGGCGGCCCGAGUGGUGAUCGCGAUUAUUGGGUCUGAAGGGUCCGUAGCCGGUUUGGUCAGUCCUCCGGGAAAUCUGACGGCUCAACCGUUAGGCUUUCGGUGGAUACUGCCAGACUUGGAACCGGGAGAGGUAAGAGGUACUACAGGGGUAGGAGUGAAAUCUUGUAAUCCCUGUGGGACC